rnacentral:rRNA from 1 species
CGGUAACACCAGCCCCUCGAGUGGUGGGGAUGAUUAUUGGGCCUAAAGCGUCCGUAGCCUGCCGUAUAAGUUUCCCGUUAAAUCCAGCGUCUUAAGCGUUGGACCGCGGGAAAUACUGUACGGCUAGAGAGUGGGAGAGGUCAGCGGUAUUCUGGGGGUAGGGGCGAAAUCCUUUGAUCCCCGGAGGACCACCAGUGGCGAAGGCUGCUGUCUAGAACACGUCUGACGGUCAGGGACGAAAGCUGGGGUAGCGAACCGGAUUAGAUACCCGGGUAGUCCCAGCCGUAAACGAUGCAUGCUAGGUGUUGGGUUGGCCACGAGCCACCCCAGUGCCGCAGGGAAGCCGUUAAGCAUGCCGCCUGGGAAGUACGAUCGCAAGGUUGAAACUUAAAGGAAUUGGCG